rnacentral:tRNA from 1 species
GCCGGAGUGGCGAAAUGGCAGACGCAGGGGACUUAAAAUCCUCCGGGUAGCGAUACCCGUCCCGGUUCGAUCCCGGGCUCCGGCA